rnacentral:rRNA from 1 species
UACGAAUCGUCCAAACGUUGUUCGGAUUUACUGGGUUUAAAGGGCGCGUAGGCGGUGCGCUAAGUCGGUGGUGAAAUACUUCGGCUCAACCGGAGAAUUGCCGCUGAAACUGGCGUGCUCGAGGGAGGUAGAGGUGCGUGGAACUUCCGGUGGAGCGGUGAAAUGCGUUGAUAUCGGAAGGAACACCUGUGGCGAAAGCGAUGCACUGGACCUCUUCUGACGCUGAGGCGCGAAAGCCAGGGGAGCAAACGGG